rnacentral:rRNA from 1 species
CCUACGGGGGGCUGCAGUGGGGAAUAUUGGACAAUGGGGGGAACCCUGAUCCAGCCAUGCCGCGUGUGUGAAGAAGGCCCUCGGGUUGUAAAGCACUUUCAGUGGGGAAGAACGCCUGGUGGUUAAUACCCAUCAGGAAAGACAUCACUCACAGAAGAAGCACCGGCUAACUCCGUGCCAGCAGCCGCGGUAAUACGGAGGGUGCGAGCGUUAAUCGGAAUUACUGGGCGUAAAGCGCGCGUAGGUGGCUUGAUAAGCCGGUUGUGAAAGCCCCGGGCUCAACCUGGGAACGGCAUCCGGAACUGUCAAGCUAGAGUGCAGGAGAGGAAGGUAGAAUUCCCGGUGUAGCGGUGAAAUGCGUAGAGAUCGGGAGGAAUACCAGUGGCGAAGGCGGCCGUCUGGACUGACACUGACACUGAGGUGCGAAAGCGUGGGUAGCAAACAGGAUUAGAUACCCUAGUAGUC